rnacentral:rRNA from 1 species
CUACGGGUCGCUGCAGUGAGGAAUAUUGGUCAAUGGGCGAAAGCCUGAACCAGCCAUGCCGCGUGAAGGAUGACAGCGCUACGCGUUGUAAACUUCUUUUGUACAGGAAGAAACACUUCUACGUGUAGAAGCUUGACGGUACUGUACGAAUAAGCAUCGGCUAACUCCGUGCCAGCAGCCGCGGUAAUACGGAGGAUGCAAGCGUUAUCCGGAUUUAUUGGGUUUAAAGGGUACGUAGGCGGAAAAUUAAGUCAGUGAUGAAAUCCUGCAGCUCAACUGUGGAACUGUCAUUGAUACUGGUUUUCUUGAAUAUAGUUGAGGUAGGCGGAAUGUGUAAUGUAGCGGUGAAAUGCUUAGAUAUUACACAGAACACCGAUUGCGAAGGCAGCUUACUAAGCUAUGAUUGACGCUGAGGUACGAAAGCGUGGGGAGCGAACAGGAUUAGAUACCCUCGUAGUC